ensembl:lncRNA
GUGUGUGUGUGUGUGUACCUCUCUGUGAUGGUGUGUGUGUGUGUGUGUGUGUGUGUGUGUACCUCUCUCUCCUAUCAGGCCCAUUGCCACUGACUGACAUGAAGGUGUGUGUGUGUGUGUGUACCUCUCUGUGAUAGUGUGUGUGUGUGUGUGUGUACCUCUCUGUGAUGGUGUGUGUGUGUGUGUGUGUACCUCUCUGUGAUGGUGUGUGUGUGUGUGUGUACCUCUCUCUCCUAUCAGGCCCAUUGCCACCUACUGACAUGAAGGUGUGUGUGUGUGUACCUCUCUGUGAUGGUGUGUGUGUGUGUGUGUGUGUGUGUGUGUGUGUACCUCUCUGUGAUGGUG